rnacentral:tRNA from 2 species
GGGCGAUUAGCUCAGUUGGGAGAGCACCUGCCUUACAAGCAGGGGGGUCACUGGUUCGAACCCGGUAUCGCCCACCA